UGGGGAAUAUUGCACAAUGGGGGAAACCCUGAUGCAGCAACGCCGCGUGAGUGAAGAAGUAUUUCGGUAUGUAAACCUCUGUCUUCGGUGACGAAAAUGACGGUAGCCGAGGAGGAAGCCACGGCUAACUACGUGCCAGCAGCCGCGGUAAUACGUAGGUGGCAAGCGUUGUCCGGAAUUACUGGGUGUAAAGGGAGCGUAGGCGGGGAUACAAGUUGAAUGUUAAAACUAUGGGCUCAACCCAUAGUUGCGUUCAAAACUGUAUUUCUUGAGUGAAGUAGAGGUAAGCGGAAUUCCUAGUGUAGCGGUGAAAUGCGUAAAUAUUAGGAGGAACACCAGUGGCGAAGGCGGCUUACUGGGCUUUAACUGACGCUGAGGCUCGAAAGCGUGGGUAGCAAACAGGAUUAGAUACCCUGGUAGU
rnacentral:rRNA from 1 species